rnacentral:rRNA from 1 species
GACGAACGCUGGCGGCGUGCUUACCACAUGCAAGUCGAGCGGAAAGGCCCUGCUUUUGUGGGGUGCUCGAGUGGCGAACGGGUGAGUAACACGUGAGUAACCUGCCCUUGACUUUGGGAUAACUUCAGGAAACUGGGGCUAAUACCGGAUAGGAGCUCCUGCUGCAUGGUGGGGGUUGGAAAGUUUCGGCGGUUGGGGAUGGACUCGCGGCUUAUCAGCUUGUUGGUGGGGUAGUGGCUUACCAAGGCUUUGACGGGUAGCCGGCCUGAGAGGGUGACCGGCCACAUUGGGACUGAGAUACGGCCCAGACUCCUACGGGAGGCAGCAGUGGGGAAUAUUGCACAAUGGGCGGAAGCCUGAUGCAGCAACGCCGCGUGCGGGAUGACGGCCUUCGGGUUGUAAACCGCUUUCGCCUGUGACGAAGCGUGAGUGACGGUAAUGGGUAAAGAAGCACCGGCUAACUACGUG